CAACAAAAUCGCAAAUCGCAAACCUGAACAAGAGAGUGAAGCAAGAAACGGCAACACCAGAAUCGCAAAUCGCAAGCAGGAAGAGAAGUCCAAAAACGGUCACGGUGGCUGCUGAUACCGUUUUGUAACGGCCGCAAUCCCGGUACCGGUCCUUUUUUUGAAACCUUGACGCUACGUUCAAAACUCAUAAACUACUCGAAACUGAAGACUUGCUUUAUCACUGAUACUCAGAGUGUCUCCACAUUAUGAAUGAUACUAGUUUUGAGUGAAUGUUUUGUUGUUGAACUCUUGUAUAGGGUUUUAUUUUAUUUUAUUAUAACUAGAGUAUUAUUUGAAUGAAGAAUUGAUCUUAUUCUUUACCAACCCACUAAUCUACCAUGUUUCAUAAUGAAUAAUGCACACUAUUAAGCUGUUUUUUUAAUAGACAAAUGUUAGCGGUUAAUUUGUUCGGUAGAGGGGUAAUUUGUUAAGGGGAGGGAUCAAACCCCGGACCUCUUAUAUAGCACUUCUUUGGUGUCUCAAACCACACAACUGUGUUCCUCCUUCUAGGGCGUCGAUAAGAAACUGUUUUGAUGAGAUGUCGUCAUGUCGGUUUUAGUGCUGUGGAAGUGUCACUGCAAGAAAAUUAUAGAUUUUUGCUUGUUUGCGUAGGGAACAAGGGUCCCAAUUGGGGAUUUGUAUAAUACACGUUUGUUAUUACCAUUAUCUUUACGAAUGUAAAUAUCUGAUAAACAAUGAGUGAACACUUUUGGAUAGACUUUUCACUAGGAUCAUUUUGUUUUGCUUUACUCUUUAAUGUGUGAUUAUUCGGGCGAUGUUUUCGGCUUGCUACCUACUGCGACCCAUUUAAAAAUUAGAAGGGUCCAGGUAAGCCGGUUGAGAUUUUAAUCUUUGAUUGGUAAUGUCAUUGGAUUGCAAGUUUGGAUUCAUUGGGUGAGUAUCUACUGUCGAAUACCAACACAUAUAGGUAAAUGAGGAAAAGGGACUGAUGUACAAGAAAUUAAAGAAAUAUAAAAGCAAAGUACACCGUGGAAAGAGAGAUGUGAGAAGAAAGUACGUAUAGUGUUUUAUAUAUUUCGGGAAGGAAAUAUUGAUGGGAUGAGAAUAGAUACUGAAGUUGGGUCAUGAAGUUGUAAACAACAUGCAAAAAUAUUGAGGAGCAGAAAAGUUUUCUUUUGCAGAUAUGAAUUACUUGGAUAACAAACUAAACAUGCUUUCUGAUGUCUUUAAUAAGAACAGGGUUUUAGUUUCUUAGUUUAUCUACUGUAGAUACUCGUUUUGAGGAAUCCAGUUCACUAUUAGUGUUGUUGUUGGUGGAAGGCUAACAAUCUGCCAUAUAAACAUGCCAUGAUGGUAUCCCUUUUUAAGUUGCCUAUGGAGGUUGCCAUUCUACCAUGGCCUCCAUUUUGACAACACUGCUCACUAUCCUACCGGUCAUGUCUGAAAAUUUUGUUUCCACUUUUGUCACAACUAUGAUGGAUUGUCAGCAUAAUUUUCUUUCUGAUACUGUUUUUUUCCUUCUCUUUAAUUUCUACUACACUUUUAUAAAAAAGUUGGUAUAUAUAUUCAAUGUCUUCGGUCAUCUGUUUCUCUCAGUUAAUAGUUUCUCUUACAUGCCUAUCCAUCUUCAUGUUCUGUGUAUUUUAUUAUCAGCAAUUU